ACGGCCAUCCUCGAAAUUUAUCCCAAAGCGGGAUCAAUUUUCUCAAAAAGUUGAUUCUUCGAAAAGUUACAAUUUGUUUUGUGAGAUUGAUUCAGAAUUUUUGAGACAGUUAGUGAAAUAAACACCCUCUGAAUUUUCGAUAAACAGCAUUCCCCAUUAAGUCUAUCAGAUUUAAUAAUAAUUCUUCGGAAAAGACAUUCAUAAUUUUAAUUUUGGAAAUGGAUUUUUUUUUGUACAAUGAAGCCUGAACGGAUGAAUGAGAGCUUCUCAUUGUUAUCAUGUUAGCCGAGUGAACUGACUUUUUUUCAACUGGAAAGGAAAGGAAAGAAGAAGACAUUCACAAUUUUUGACAUUAAUAUGACUCGUGCAAGCUGGACAUUUACCAUAGUCGUCGGCAUUACUUUCGCCUUAGGAUUCUUUGCAGGGUACAAAACCAAAGAGUUGAGAAUACAAUGGCUCAAAAGGAAGAGAGAUCGUCUGGCAGAUAAAUUAGUGGAGACACAGAGACUAAUUGAACAACAUCAAAAGAACUACUAAAUUAAACGAUGCAUUUAAUAAUAAUUUACUGUCGAGUACUUAGUUUAGAAGCUAAAAUGUUUGAGAAAAUUGUAUUGUAUUCGUGUACUGUAGUGUAGUAACAUAAACUAGUUUGGACAAUAUUUCUUGAUACACAUAUCAUCACUCCCUGAAGAAGAUAGCAGCUUCUGUCGAAAGCUUGGAACAAUAAAACUUAAAAAUGUCAUCCAUGA